ACAAGUCAGAGACUACAGAAAAUAAAUGGAAAAGAAAAGGAAAAGAAAAGGAAAUCCAUAGCCUCAGCUUUGCCUCAGCUUCGUCGCCGCUCAGCCUCAGCUUCGUCGCUGACGGCGCGCCUCCGCCGAUUCGACCACAACUCCAACUCGCCCUCUGACUCGCUCGCACGUCCGCAUCGCGCCUCCGUCAGGCGUCUGGGCCGUGGCGGCAACUGAGGCCGGCCCGCCGCGUGCGCCCUGCCGCCAUCCGCGUCGUGGCGGCGACUGCGGCCGGGCCGCCGCGCGCGCCUUCGCUCCCACAGCGAAUCGACCGCACAGCCAGGCACCACUUCGUCGAGCUCCGCCCAGCUCAUCCCGUCGGCAGCUCGCCGAUGGAUGUUCCGCUCAUCGCCGCAAUCGGCCAGGUGGGGGCAUGUCGGCUUGCUCCGCCCAGCUCCGGUGACCCCAGCUAGCACGUUGCUCCGAGGCCCCUCAUUGAUCCCCGUGGAGGCGGUGAGCGUGCUGAAGCUAAAGCUGGAGGAGGACAUCGACUGCGUCAUGAACCCUAUCCUCUUCGGCUCUCCUUCGUUCCCGUCGGCGGAGCCAGAGGCUCAGACCUGGUCUUCCCCGAAUCCACAGCUGCGAGCCUCCUCGAGCGGCCCAAGUACGGCACGCUCCCGGAUUUGAUGGUCGACGCCCUUCCCCACCUCACCCGCGACUGGUCACUGGCUAUAGCUGUUGAGGAGUUGGAGAGGACAGAAUUAUAUGGAGAGAAAUUGCAUAUAUUCAGAAAAGCCUUCCUGUUCUAUAACAUAGGUGUUUCAGCAAAUGCAUGUCAACCCUAUUUUAGUCACUCGGAAAAGCACAAUGAAUCUUUUCCAUGAAAGUAGAUUCAAAGGCUAUUCUAACAAGUGGGAUUACGUACCUUCACUAAACCUGAUGAUCCCAACAGAGGCCAUAAACCUGAUGAGAAAUACUCCCUGAUCACACACAAGAUAUUAAAACAGUCUUUGUGCGGAUGUACUCCUCUACCGGAGUUGCAGCCAAACCUGAAAUCCACACGGAGCCAUAAUAGAACAGAGCAACAAGAAUUCCAGGAGAUCUCUAGAGGAAAAAUAUUUUUAGGUACCCUUUAUAUGUUUGCACCAUUAAUCGCCCAGCCAUGCUUCAAGAGAUUCUCUGAUCACAGUUUGGUGCGAGAUCUAUAGAUUUCAAGAUUUUACCUUUCAUGUAAUUUUAUUUCCUUUAUGAUGCCCUCGAAUUAUGGGCGGUGAUGGUGAUGGAAUGUAAUCUCUGUAUUUCUUGCGUGUAUGGUGCAGUGAUGGUGGACAACAUUUAUUUCCUUUCCUGUAAUUUUAUUUC